rnacentral:tRNA from 1 species
UAAAUAGAAGCUAAUCUAGCAAUUAACUGUUAAUUAAUUUUAUACUAUUCAAUAGUCUAUUUAU